rnacentral:rRNA from 1 species
AAGUCGUAACAAGGUUUCCGUAGGUGAACCUGCGGAAGGAUCAUUACCGAGUGAGGGCCCUCUGGGUCCAACCUCCCACCCGUGUUUAUUUACCUUGUUGCUUCGGCGAGCCUGCCUUUUGGCUGCCGGGGGACGUCAGUCCCCGGGUCCGUGCUCGCCGGAGACACCUUAGAACUCUGUCUGAAGAUUGUAGUCUGAGAUUAAAUAUAAAUUAUUUAAAACUUUCAACAACGGAUCUCUUGGUUCCGGCAUCGAUGAAGAACGCAGCGAAAUGCGAUACGUAAUGUGAAUUGCAGAAUUCAGUGAAUCAUCGAGUCUUUGAACGCACAUUGCGCCCUCUGGUAUUCCGGAGGGCAUGCCUGUCCGAGCGUCAUUGCUGCCCUCAAGCACGGCUUGUGUGUUGGGCCCCGUCCUCCUUCCGGGGGACGGGUCCGAAAGGCAGCGGCGGCACCGCGUCCGGUCCUCAAGCGUAUGGGGCUUUGUCACUCGCUUUGUAGGCCUGGCCGGCGCUUGCCGAUCAACCAAACUUUUUAUCAGGUUGACCUCGGAUCAGGUAGGGAUACCCGCUGAACUUAA